rnacentral:rRNA from 1 species
AGUUGGUGGAGUGAUUUGUCUGGUUAAUUCCGUUAACGAACGAGACCUCAGCCUGCUAACUAGUAGUAUCUAUCCUUUGGUUUUUUGUGAUCUGCUGUUUACGGGUCGUAACUGGUUUGCCUCCUCCUCGUCGAGUGAGACGGCCGUGCGGCUUUCAGCAUGCAUUACUGGCCUUUCUGGAUAGGUUCGGCCUUCCGAGCUAGUCUUGGUCGGUCUUUCGACUUCUUAGAGGGACUAUCUGUGUGUAGCAGAUGGAAGUUUGAGGCAAUAACAGG